AUUACAAGGUGAUAGAUAUAGAAAUAUUCUGCAAAAGUAACAUUUCGUCACUUUUAUUUUCUUCACCAUAGUCAUCUCUUUUGCUUGCAAAAUUGAGGUACUUGUGUUGAGAAUUUGGGGAGGGUUUGUGAAUAAAAAGUGACCUAGAGAUCAUGGACUUCCUUUUUGGUGUUGAAGUUAUGAGCAUUUUCCAACUAUGGAGUUGUCAAAGUCUGUUUCAAAAGAAUAGGGUUUUUGGUUGAAAAAGAAAGAAGCGUUCUUCCAUCUAUAUCAUUUUGGGUAGCUUUGAUUCAGUCCUUGGGGGGCUUUUUCAUCGUUCUUGCAAGGGUUUUGAAGCUUCAUUGAGGUCAUGGCACAGAUGGUUUGGAGGGUGUUCCUCCUCAGCUGUAGACAGAGUCGGGUUGGUGUUGUCAUGUUUUCAUUCCGCAUUUUUGACUAUGUUUUGUAUUAUAUUUCUUAGAAUAUCCCAAGCAUAAUAAAUAUUCUUUAAAACUUUAAAGUUGUAAUAUUUGUUUUUUUAUCUAUUUAUUUUUAGUCUUGUUUUUGUAAA